rnacentral:rRNA from 1 species
AGUGAACGCUGGCGGUAGGCCUAACACAUGCAAGUCGAACGGCAGCACAGGAAGAGCUUGCUCUUACGGGUGGCGAGUGGCGGACGGGUGAGGAAUACAUCGGAAUCUACUUUUUCGUGGGGGAUAACGUAGGGAAACUUACGGGAAUACCGCAUACGACCUACGGGUGAAAGCAGGGGAUGUUCGGACCUUGCGCGGUUGAAUGGGCCGAUGUCGGAUUAGUUAGUUGGCGGGGUAAAGGCCCACCAAGGCGACGAUCCGUAGCUGGUCUGAGAGGAUGGUCAGCCACACUGGAACUGAGACACGGUCCAGACUCCUACGGUGGGCCGCAGUGGGGAAUAUUGCACAAUGGGCGCAAGCCUGAUCCAGCCAUACCGCGUGGGUCAAGACGGCCUUCGGGUUGUAAAGCCCUUUUGUUGGGAAAGAAAAGCAGCAGGUUAAUACCCCGCUGUUCUGACGGUACCCAAAGAAUAAGCACCGGCUAACUUCGUG